GGCGGGGCGCGGGGCCGCGAGCCUCCUCCCCUCGGCCAAUCAGCAGCUUCGGCAGCCCCUGGGAGGGCGCACUUUCUUCCCUGCACCCGGCGGGGAGGACGACGGCAGCGGCGUGUCCUCAACUGCAGGCGGACUCCUCAGGAGCCGCGGCGCGGCCCUGGCACUGGCUGCGGCGACGCCGAAGGCGUUCUGAGGAAAUCUCCCUGCUUACAACGUCGCCGCCGCCGCGCUCCUGGAGGCCCGCCGCUGCCUGAUAACGGGCCGCUCUGCUGCACCGUGGCGCCCAAGAGCCCGACAAAGUUGAGCGCAGGCCGGUGGCGCGGGUGGUGGCCGCUCCGGACGCUCCAGCUGCACUUGCUCCAGGCGCUGGUUCAAGACGGAAGCCGUCCCUGGCACACAACAUCGGGCGCUCGUCAGCCACUUAAAUGGGACUAGCCCGGCUGCCGAUCUCAAAGUCUCGAGCGCCAGGUUCCCCUGCGUCUCCCUCAGUGGAUCCCCCGUCUCCCUUGGGAGCCGGGAAAGUCACCUGAGUGGAGGCCAGGAUUCCCCUUCAGAGGCAUCUCCUUGGACGCCAGGGACUGAGGAAGGCCGUGGGCACCUGCGAGAGUCUAGGCUGAGGAUGUGCUUCAGCGGCUUCUCAAAGGCCCGCGUGUCUGGAAUCAGACCCCGACUGCCCGACUGGGUAUCCAUGAGGCGUGUCCCUCUUUCUGUCUCUCUGACUUCCAGCCUGCUUCUCCAGGCCACCCUGGCCUCUGAGUGAGGCAGGGGGCGUUCCUAACUCUCUUCUAACUUCAUCGAUUUCCCGGAAGCCGAUGCCAACCACCACAAGAAGCCACAAAACUGCAAAUAGUAAUAGAAAUGAAACCCAGAAUAGAAGUGCCAACCUUCCAAGGCCCUCUCAACUGACCAGUGAUGGAGACCUAGCUGCACCCCCUACUGCGCCCCCUCUCAGCAUGAAGCAGCCAGAGCGGUCUUCGCCCCUUUUCCCUAGCAGCAGCUACAGUCUCCAUCUGUAGAGGGGGAAUGAGACAGGGACCAAAGGCUUAGAAUAAGGUGAGAGCCUCUGGAGAAAGUAAGGCAGGAUUCUUUAGCAAAUAGACAAUACCUCAGCCCACCUUGGGAGCUGAGCAGGCAGCCUUUUGAUAUGCUCCCAGACCAAGACGCCGGUAUCCCAGAGAAAAAUCAAGGCAGGAAAUUCCUUAUGUUAAGUUAAUUUUUAAUAUUCAGAGAACACUUAACAAGUCCUUCCCCAAGGCUUUAGGGAUAGUCCCCACCUUUUUGGACAGGCUCUAGCACAAGACCUCAAAUCCCUUACUCUCUCGAGCUCCACCCUCCUUCAAUAUGUAGAUGAUCUCCUGUGCAGUCCCUCCCUACAAACCUCACAACAGGAUACUACUCUCCUUUUAAACUUUCAGAACACGGCUAUCCGGUCUCACCCUCCAAAGUUCAGCUGUCUGACGCUCAGGUCACAAAGCUGGGAGUUCAGCUCUCCCUGCGCUACAAGGCCAUUGCCAUAGAUAGGAAAAAACUUCUCCAAACCAUGCCCAUUCCAAACACCAUCCCUAACUCCCAAAUGGCAAGGACCAUACACAGUAAUCCUUUCCACGCCAACUGCAGUUAAACUCCAGGGUCUUCCCCUCUAGAUACACAACUCCCACCAUAAGCCAUUUGUCUCCCCUUAUUCCCCUCCCACCAAAUCUCCCACAGGUUCCUACUCCUCCACCCUGAUGGGACCUCUUACUCUCCACAUUUCGUGCUGCUCAUCUCCACUUCCACUCAUCACUGAAGAAGUUUCUGCCAGCAUGGAGUCCUAAGACCUCCCUUACAACUGCCAUGCGUCAUUGCCUCAGGAUUGUUAACCCUGGUCUCAACACUUAUUCUCUCACCAGACCUAUCUUCCCAACACCAGCCCUUCUCUUUCAGACUGUCCAAAAAAUUGCACCAUCAAGGAUUCCCUUUGCCCUACCAGUUGCUUUUCUGCCUACACAUAGGUCCCCAUCAAUGCUGUAAUUCAGCCACCCUAUGUAAACAUAGCAAUCAGCCCAAAUGCAAAAAAUUUCUAACCAAACCUUUAACCAGCUUAUAUUACAGGAUUAUCAACCCCUCUCCAAAGGUGAUGAUCCUUAUUGAACCUGGAACACACCAUAGCCACUGCAGACCAAGGGCUCAUCUGAGGACCACCCCCCAUCAAUACAAAAAUGAACUUCAUCGCCCCUAAUCGGCAGGAAGCAGUUACUGAAGACUAACCUUCACCUCUUCCCAAAUCCUCUCCCACUUAUAAAACAGAAAAGGGAGGAAUGUAAGAAUAUAGUAAUUUAUCCUCCAUUUGCCCCAUGGUCCCAAGCACAUAAGCUGGUGAGAAUUAUGCCUGGGACUUGCCUGGGCUUACCCCGCCUUAUCUCUAAACAUCCCAACCCUCCCCCAAAGCAACAGGCCUAGCGCAUCUGCCACAAAAAAAGGCACCACACUGCUGCCCCCUCCCUCUCUCUCUCUCUGUCUGUGUCUGUCUGUCUCUCUCUCUUUGUCUCUGUCUCUCUGUCCCCCUGCUCUCCCCUCUCUCUCUCUCUCUCUCUCCCCACCCCACUCUGGGGCAGCCACUCUCUCCUUCAGAUAAUAAAGUCUCUUCGUGGG